rnacentral:rRNA from 1 species
UACGUAGGGAGCAAGCGUUGUUCGGAUUUACUGGGCGUAAAGGGCUCGUAGGUGGCCAACUAAGUCAGACGUGAAAUCCCUCGGCUUAACCGGGGAACUGCGUCUGAUACUGGUUGGCUUGAGUUUGGGAGAGGGACGCGGAAUUCCAGGUGUAGCGGUGAAAUGCGUAGAUAUCUGGAGGAACACCGGUGGCGAAGGCGGCGUCCUGGACCACCACUGACGCUCAUGCACGAAAGCGUGGGGAGCAAACAGG